GAUGAACGCUGGCGGCGUGCUUAAUACAUGCAAGUCGAACGAUGAAGUCCAGCUGGCUGUGUGGACUAGUGGCGAACGGGUGUGUAACACGUGAGUAACCUGCCCUUAACCCUGGGAUAAGCCGGGGAAACUGGGUCUAAUACCGGAUAGGAUCGCCUACCGCAUGGUGGGUGUUGGAAAGAUUUAUCGGUUUUGGAUGUAGUCGCGGCCAAUCAGCUUGUUGGUGAGGUUAUGCCUCACCAAGGCGACGACGGGUAGCCGGCCUGCGAGGGUGACCGGCCACACUGGGACUGAGGAGCGGCCCAGACUCCUACGGGAGGCAGCGGUGGGAGAUAUUGCACGAUGGGCGAAAGCCUGAUGCAGCGACGCCGCGUGGGGGAUGACGGCCUUCGGGUUAUAAACCUCUUUCGGUAGGGAAGAAGCGAAAGUGACGGUACCUGAAGAAGAAGCACCGGCUAACUACGUG
rnacentral:rRNA from 1 species